ACUCAAAUGAAUAGACGGGGGCCCGCACAAGCGGAGGAGCAUGUGGUUUAAUUCGAUGAUACGCGAGGAACCUUACCUAGACUUAAAUGUAGAUUGACCGGCGGGGAAACCUGUUUUUCAGCAAUGACAAUUUACAAGGUGCUGCAUGGUUGUCGUCAGCUCGUGCCGUGAGGUGUCAGGUUAAGUCCUAUAACGAGCGCAACCCCUAUUCUUAGUUGCCAGCAUGUAAUGAUGGGGACUCUAAGGAAACUGCCUACGCAAGUAGAGAGGAAGGUGGGGAUGACGUCAAAUCAGCACGGCCCUUACGUCUAGGGCUACACACGUGCUACAAUGGUAGGUACAGAGGGCAGCUACACGGUGACGUGAUGCCAAUCUCCAAAGCCUAUCUCAGUUCGGAUCGAAGUCUGCAACCCGACUUCGUGAAGUUGGAUUCGCUAGUAAUCGCAUAUCAGCCAUGAUGCGGUGAAUACGUUCCCGGGCCUUGUACACACCGCCCGU
rnacentral:rRNA from 1 species